rnacentral:rRNA from 2 species
GUCCCAGCAGCCGCGGAAAUACGUAGGGGGCGAGCGUUGUCCGGAAUGACUGGNNNUAAAGGGCGCGUAGGCGGCUUUUUAAGUUUGGAGUGAAAGUCCUGCUUUCAAGGUGGGAAUUGCUUUGAAAACUGGAGAGCUUGAGUGCGGAAGAGGUAAGUGGAAUUCCCAGUGUAGCGGUGAAAUGCGUAGAGAUUGGGAGGAACACCAGUGGCGAAGGCGACUUACUGGGCCGUAACUGACGCUGAGGCGCGAAAGCGUGGGGAGCGAACAGGAUUAGAUACCCUGGUAGUCCACGCGGUAAACGAUGAAUGCUAGGUGCAGCGGGUAUCGACCCCUGCUGUGCCGGAGUAAACACAAUAAGCAUUCCGCCUGGGGAGUACGGCCGCAAGGUUGAAACUCAAAGGAAUUGACGGGGGCCCGCACAAGCAGCGGAGCAUGUGGUUUAAUUCGAAGCAACGCGAAGAACCUUACCAGGUCUUGACAUCGAUCUAAGCCCGUAGAGAUACGGGGUGCCUUCGGGCAAGAGAAGACAGGUGGUGCAUGGUUGUCGUCAGCUCGUGUCGUGAGAUGUUGGGUUAAGUCCCGCAACGAGCGCAACCCUUAUUGUCAGUUACUAACGGGUAGAGCCGAGGACUCUGACGAGACUGCCGGGGACAACUCGGAGGAAGGUGGGGACGACGUCAAAUCAUCAUGCCCCUUAUGACCUGGGCUACACACGUGCUACAAUGGUGGCAACAAAGAGGAGCGAGCCCGUGAGGGGAAGCGGAUCUCAAAAAAGCCAUCUCAGUUCGGAUUGUGGGCUGCAACCCGCCCACAUGAAGUCGGAGUUGCUAGUAAUCGCGAAUCAGCAUGUCGCGGNGAAUACGUUCCCGGGCCUUGUACACACCGCCCGUCACACCA